rnacentral:lncRNA from 1 species
AAGGCUACCCUUGCAGAAUCUGUUCCAAUUUUAAAAAGCCCGAUCCAUCUUCUCUGAUGACCCGGCAAGAAAGGAUUAUUGCAGAAAUUAUACUCGCCUGUGCUUUGCCUAGACUGACGGAGCACUCGGACAACUAACUCUCCUCAGAGUUUCAAGCACCUACCAUAUGCAAGGUACUCAAUAGCCACUGGGAGCAGCAGUUGGUGGGGUAAGUCACUUAACCCUAUUUGCCACAGUUUAGCCAUCUAUAAAAUGAGUUGGCAUGACCACGCAAGUAUCUUUGCCAAGAAAACCCCAAAUGGGGUCUGGAAGAGUCAGACGUUACUGUAACAACUGAACAACAACAACAAAAACAAACAAGAUAAAUAUGAAGUAUUUAUAUAAAUAUGAAGUAUAAUCUCCUUGCCAUUUUUCUUGGCUGGAGGAGGGAUAAGGAAAACAUAUAUACAAGUAAAUAAAUAUAAAAUAUAAGCAAAGUAAUUUCA